rnacentral:misc_RNA from 1 species
GAUGAAGAACGCAGCGAAAUGCGAUAAGUAGUGUGAAUUGCAGAAUUCAGUGAAUCAUCGAAUCUUUGAACGCACAUUGCGCCCCUUGGUAUUCCAUGGGGCAUGCCUGUUCGAGCGUCAUUUGUACCUUCAAGCUUUGCUUGGUGUUGGGUGUUUGUCUCGCCUUUGCGUGUAGACUCGCCUUAAAAUAAUUGGCAGCCGGCGUAUUGAUUUCGGAGCGCAGUACAUCUCGCGCUUUGCACUCAUAACGACAGCGUCCAAAAGUACAUUUUUCACUCUUGACCUCGGAUCAGGUAGGGAUACCCGCUGAACUUAAGCAUAUCAAUAAGCGGAGGA